AUUGCCCUAGUAACGGCGAGUGAAGCGGCAAUAGCUCAAAUUUAAAAUCUGGCUCUGCUCUAGGGUCCGAGUUGUAAUUUGUAGAGGGUGCUUUGGCACUGAUGGCGGUCUAAGUUCCUUGGAACAGGACAUCACAGAGGGUGAGAAUCCCGUAUGUGGUCGCUGAUCUUUGCCGUGUAAAGCCCCUUCAACGAGUCGAGUUGUUUGGGAAUGCAGCUCUAAAUGGGAGGUAAAUUUCUUCUAAAGCUAAAUAUUGGCCAGAGACCGAUAGCGCACAAGUAGAGUGAUCGAAAGAUGAAAAGCACUUUGGAAAGAGAGUCAAAAAGCACGUGAAAUUGUUGAAAGGGAAGCGCUUGCCGCCAGACUUGCCUGCAGUUGCUCACCUAGGCGUUCAGCCUGGGGCACUCUUCUGCAGGCAGGCCAGCAUCAGUUUGGGCAGCCGGAUAAAGGUCUCUGACACGUUCCUACCUUUGUGUAGGCCAUAUAGGGGAGACGUCAUGCGGUUAGCCUGGACUGAGGUCCGCGCAUUGCUAGGAUGCUGGCGUAAUGGCUGCAAGCGGCCCGUCUUGAAACACGGACCAAGGAGUCUAACAUCUAUGCGAGUGUUUGGGUGUCAAGCCCGAGCGCGCAAUAAACGUGAACGGAGGUGGGAACCCUCUUUGGGGGUGCACCAUCGACCGAUCCUGAUGUCUUCGGAUGGAUUUGAGUAAGAGCAUAGCUGUUGGGACCCGAAAGAUGGUGAACUAUGCUUGAAUAGGGUGAAGCCAGAGGAAACUCUGGUGGAGGCUCGCAGCGGUUCUGACGUGCAAAUCGAUCGUCAAAUUUGGGCAUAGGGGCGAAAGACUAAU
rnacentral:rRNA from 2 species